rnacentral:rRNA from 1 species
GAUCAUGGCUCAGGAUGAACGCUAGCUACAGGCUUAACACAUGCAAGUCGAGGGGCAGCAUGUUGGUUGCUUGCAACCAACGAUGGCGACCGGCGCACGGGUGAGUAACGCGUAUCCAACCUGCCCUUGUCCAUCGGAUAACCCGUCGAAAGGCGGACUAACACGAUAUGCAGUUCUCCGCAGGCAUCUAACGAGAACGAAAUGUGAAGGAGAAGGAUGGGGAUGCGU